rnacentral:rRNA from 1 species
AUUGAACGCUGGCGGCAGGCCUAACACAUGCAAGUCGAGCGGAUGAAGGGAGCUUGCUCCUGGAUUCAGCGGCGGACGGGUGAGUAAUGCCUAGGAAUCUGCCUGGUAGUGGGGGAUAACGUCCGGAAACGGGCGCUAAUACCGCAUACGUCCUGAGGGAGAAAGUGGGGGAUCUUCGGACCUCACGCUAUCAGAUGGGCCUAGGUCGGAUUAGCUAGUUGGUGGGGUAAAGGCCUACCAAGGCGACGAUCCGUAACUGGUCUGAGAGGAUGAUCAGUCACACUGGAACUGAGACACGGUCCAGACUCCUACGGGAGGCAGCAGUGGGGAAUAUUGGACAAUGGGCGAAAGCCUGAUCCAGCCAUGCCGCGUGUGUGAAGAAGAUCUUCGGAUUGUAAAGCACUUUAAGUUGGGAGGAAGGGCAGUAAGUUAAUACCUUGCUGUUUUGACGUUACCAACAGAAUAAGCACCGGCUAACUUCGUG